rnacentral:miRNA from 1 species
UGCGGACCCGAGCGGACGCCGGACG